rnacentral:rRNA from 1 species
CCCACGGGAGGCUGCAGUGAGGAAUAUUGGUCAAUGGACGAGAGUCUGAACCAGCCAAGUAGCGUGAAGGAUGACUGCCCUAUGGGUUGUAAACUUCUUUUAUAUGGGAAUAAAAUGUUCCACGUGUGGGAUUUUGUAUGUACCAUAUGAAUAAGGAUCGGCUAACUCCGUGCCAGCAGCCGCGGUAAUACGGAGGUUCCGAGCGUUAUCCGGAUUUAUUGGGUUUAAAGGGCUCGUAGGUGGAUUGUUAAGUCAGUUGUGAAAGUUUGCGGCUCAACCGUAAAAUUGCAGUUGAAACUAGCAGUCUUGAGUACAGUAGAGGUGGGCGGAAUUCGUGGUGUAGCGGUGAAAUGCUUAGAUAGCACGAAGAACUCCGAUUGCGAAGGCAGUUCACUGGACUGCAACUGACACUGAGGCUCGAAAGUGUGGGUAUCAAACAGGAUUAGAUACCCCAGUAGUC